rnacentral:tRNA from 1 species
UACGGGACAGGUGCCCCCCAACCA